rnacentral:rRNA from 1 species
CCGGCGACCGGCGCACGGGUGAGUAACACGUAUGGAACCUGCCCGCAGCAGGGGAUAAGCGGAAGAAAUUCCGUCUAAUACCGCGUAACACCGCGGAGGGGCAUCCCUCGGCGGUUAAAGAUUCAUCGGCUGCGGAUGGCCAUGCGGCGCAUUAGCUAGUCGGCGGGGUAACGGCCCACCGAGGCGACGAUGCGUAGGGGUUCUGAGAGGAAGGUCCCCCACACUGGUACUGAGACACGGACCAGACUCCUACGGGAGGCAGCAG